rnacentral:rRNA from 1 species
UAAUACAUAGGGUGCAAGCGUUGUCCGGAUUUAUUGGGCGUAAAGAGUUCGUAGGCGGUUUUUCGCGUCGGAUGUGAAAACUCAGGGCUCAACCCUGAGCCUGCAUUCGAUACGGGAAGACUCGAGGACGGCAGGGGAGACUGGAACUUCUGGUGUAGCGGUGGAAUGCGCAGAUAUCAGAAAGAACACCAAUGGCGAAGGCAGGUCUCUGGGCCGAUCCUGACGCUGAGGAACGAAAGCGUGGGGAGCAAACAGGAUUGGAUACCCUGGUAGUCCACGCCGUAAACUAUGGACGCUAGGUGUGGGGGACAUUCCACGUUCUCUGCGCCGCAGCUAACGCAUUAAGCGUCCCGCCUGGGGAGUACGACCGCAAGGUUAAAACUCAAAGGAAUUGACGGGGCCCGCACAAGCAGCGGAGCAUGCGGCUUAAUUCGAUGCAACGCGAAGAACCUUACCUAGGCUUGACAUGCAUUGAAAACUGUUAGAGAUAACAGGUCCGCAAGGGC